CCUACGGGAGGCAGCAGUAGGGAAUAUUGCUCAAUGGGGGAAACCCUGAAGCAGCAACGCCGCGUGGAGGAUGAAGGUUUUCGGAUUGUAAACUCCUUUUGUUAGAGAAGAUAAUGACGGUAUCUAACGAAUAAGCACCGGCUAACUCCGUGCCAGGAGCCGCGGUAAUACGGAGGGUGCAAGCGUUACUCGGAAUCACUGGGCGUAAAGGGCGCGUAGGCGGGAUAGCAAGUCAGAUGUGAAAUCCUAGGGCUUAACCAUAGAACUGCAUUUGAAACUGUUAUUCUAGAGUAGUGGAGAGGUAGGUGGAAUUCUUGGUGUAGGGGUAAAAUGCGUAGAGAUCAAGAGGAAUACUCAUGGCGAAGGCGACCUGCUAGAACAUAACUGACGCUGAUGCGCGAAAGCGUGGGGAGCAAACAGGAUUAGAUACCCGUGUAGUC
rnacentral:rRNA from 1 species